rnacentral:lncRNA from 1 species
GCCACAGGCAGCCUCCUACUGGUUGUUAUUUUGGGUGCUGGAAAGCCUGCCUGUCCUGAAAUAUCUCUCCCUGCCGUCUUGCCAGGUUCUCUAAUUCCCACCACGAGAGCCAUCCUCUAGUUAAAGGCAUUGUGUCUCCAGGAGGCCCGGGUUACAGGGCAGCCACCCAUAGGCAACGCCACACAUUUAACCCAUAAUUGCCCAUCAGCCCAGAACCUGGCUGCAGAGAAAAGCUACCAGCUGUUGGUAACCGAACACUGCCUUGCUAAGAGAAGCUUUUUGACAGCCUCUUCACAUAAGUGGGGGAAAUGGGUGCCGCAAAGCUCUGGAUCAGGAGUGUAAUGGCUUCCAUGGGAGCGGCCAAAUUGCUGCAGUGAUGGCAUCUCAGCUUUCUCCUCCCAGGGCAUGGGCCAGUUAGACUUCGGAUACUGAGAGGAAUGUGGAAAUGCAAAUGGCACCAAGGAAGUGCACAUAAGUUCAUGGAUGAUGGAUCCAAUGUGGAAUCAGGGAACGCUUGGGUCACACCCUUAACCAGGCCUUAUCUCUGAGGGAAGAAGACAACUGCCUAUCCAGCUUGAGCUGAUGUCCUCCAACAUCCUGUCACUGGUACUGAGUCUUCAGCUGGUGAGAGGAUGAGGAGACAUAUCAAGUCAUUACCCUCAUGGAGUUUACAAAUAAAUAAACAUAUAAUAUGUCGGACUGGAUGAGUCGAUUCUGGGAGUGAGAGCAGAUAAAGAAAAAGCAUGAGGACUAAAGCUCAGGGCCUUCACUAUUUGGAAUUCUGGGAGAUGAGAAGGAAUCAGAAGAGAAUGCUGAGAAGGGCCGACCUGGGAAGAUGAUGGAGACUGAAGAGGAAACGGCAUCCUGGGUACGAAGUGAAUAAAUGUUUCAAAAAGGUGGGACUAAUCAGCCAUGCCACAUGAUUCCGAUCAGAAGACUGAGAACUGACCAUUGGAUCUAGCAAAUGGAGAUUACUAGCGACUUUGACAGGAGCUGUUUAGGGGGAGUAUUGGAUUUGAGAGAAAACAGGAAAGGAGGAGAUGAAGAGAGAGUAGAGACAACUCUGUGAAUUUUGCUAUGAAAAGUAACAGAGAAACCGAGAGGAAGUAUGAAGUGAAGGCAGACAUUUUAAAAGAUGGGUAAUAUUUAGCAUAGUGGUAUACUGAUGAGAAUUAUCUCAUCAAGUGGGAAAAUUUAUGUAAGAGGUGGAGUUCAAUUGCUGGAAUGAUUUCCUUAAACAGAUAAGAGAGGGUAGAAUUUGGAGAAGUGGAAGGGUUUGUCUUAGAAAGGAGUACAGACAAUUCAUAUACAGUAAGAGCUGAAAAAAUACAUGGGCACAUAUGCAAAUAGGUGGGUCCAUAUUGUGGUGGGAUCUCAGGAAGUUCUCAUCUGACAGCAUCCCUUUUCUUAUGAAAUGAAACCAAAAUCAGCAGCUAAAUGCGAGGAAAGAGCAGACAGUGUGAAAUUAACAUCCAGAAGAAGCCAAGAGGGAAGGAACAAGGGAAAUGAGUGUGCCUGCGGAGAAGCCCAAGGACCCACUUGAGAUAAGUGGUCAUGCACUUAAAGGGAGACUUUUUUUAAAGGCCUGGAUGAUGAAGCAGCAACCAGAAUUAUUUUCUAUUAUUAGGACUAUCGCCCAAACUAAUUUGUAUCAAAGAUAGAAUAAUACAGGUAAUUAAAAUUACUUUGAGGAAGAGAAGAUAAGACAAAGAAAUGAGUCAAUAAACGUACACUAUGCUUUUGUUAUGUGCUUGGCAUUGUGGCUGAAAAAAGUUCUGUCUUGCCUUAAAGAAAUGCCUGGGCUAAGUGAGAAGACUCAGAUAUAAACAAAGGAGAGAUUAAACACUAUUACUUACCAAUCACCACUGAAACAAUAAAUCAAGGCAGUAUGUGCUGAUUUGCUCAAUGUGUAGUCUAGGCAGCAAGGGUUAUGGAAUCUGCUGUGAAAUGGAAGAAAGAGAACUCUCUCUCCUUUUUUUAUGGAAAUUGCAUAGGGAAAUGAUGGCAUAAAUCACACAAGAAGGUAGAAAUGGUCAGAUUGAAAGCAUGGAUUUUGGAGGCAGUAGUUUGAAUUCAAAUUCUGGGUUCACCACUUACUAGCAUUGUGAGCAAACCAAUUAAUAUUUCUGCACCUCAGUUUCCUCAUCUGUAAGAAGGAGAUAGGCAUUCAUGGAUCAUAUAGUAACAUAUGUCUUACAGUGUUUGUAUUCUAAGAUAGAACUGGCUUCUUGGUAACCUGCAGGGGAAAACAACUCUUCCUAUCCUUAGUAAAAAGAAAAAUUUACCAGAAGCUUACAGAGAGCCUCACAUAAUUCACAAAACUGAAGGAGUAGAGGGAAGCUGGGCAAGAAUCGGGGUGCUCCAGCAGCUGGACAGCAGAACCAUAUGGUCUGUGCAUGUGCUGUCCAUAAGCACAACAGCUGGAAACAGCUGCAACUGCCAAAUCCUGUGGUUCUGACGCAUGAUCAGUCUAAUUCACUGACAAUUCAAAGUCCUAAUGUAAUAAUGUCUGAUUUGCCAAGUCUUGGUCUUGAGCCCACUCCUUGGCUGUCAGAGAACAAAGAACAGACAAUCUACCUCUUUGUCUUUCACUUUUCACCAAAGCUCCUACAGUGAGAGAUUUCUGUAAAUAAGAAAGUGGUUUGAAUAUGUGGCAGGUAAAAAGAAAAAGGAAAACAAAUCUCACAACUGCUCCCUGCCAUGACCUCCAGCCCACAUUUUUACUUCCAUAAAUGAAGUGUUACCUCCUAUUAUAAUCCCAAACACUCCUCUUUCCCCAAAGUGAAUCAACUCAAAAGCACAUGCUUUAGUGCACCCAUCUCCAGGCUGAGGAUCUUGGAGUAACGUCCACUCCUCCUGAGUUCUACCCCAUCCUGUCUUAAUGUUCUGCAGCUCAAGAAAUGAAGAGUAAAGUCAAAGUCAACAACCUGCAACACCUGCAAAAAUAAAGAGGAAAGAAGAAUGCAAAAAAAUCAUUAAAAAAUGCGUAAACGCACAGCAAGGGAAAAGCACAAGUUACAGCCCUAGCGAGAACAUGGCCUAAAAGAUGCUCUUCAUCUAUUACCAUUCAGAUUCUUUUUUUUCCUUCAGCUUAAAAUUCAGGUUGGGGCUCCUUGCCUGCUGAAGUGCCCGAUCAUCAUGCCUAAAGCAUAUGAGCCCUACAUGGGGUUGCAAUCCACCAUUACUAGGUUCCUUUCAACUCUCUGCUACCACAAAGGGGAAGCAAGACUAUUUCUUGAUAAUUAGGUUCAAUCUCUCCUGUCCACACUAUAACCCCAUUCAUUCCCUAUUGGCCCAGUGGCAUGAGGAACCAGAAAAAGCUUGAUGAAAGUUUCACAAUCUAGUUAUUUUUUAGGUAACUUAGUGGAAACGUUUA